rnacentral:lncRNA from 10 species
UUUUAGUCUGACAAUUCUUGCCUGUUUUUCCAAGCCAUUCUGUUUCCUCAAACCCAAUCCUCCCCUUGGACUCUGGCUUUUUAGAAGACAAAAGCCAGAAAUGCUCCCAGGGUCCUUCUGCAUCUCAUCCUGCCGCUCACCUCCCUAAAGCAAGUACACGGGUCAGCUAUACCUGCUCAAAAGGGCAAUGAAGAAGGAAAACGUCAGUAACUCUGACUAAAGGCAGAAACGUGCUUUCUUGGAGUGAGACAGAGAAUGCACAGAAGAACAUGAUUAUAAGCAGGGAGUGGGUAAAGAGAACAGGGAAGGAGGGAGGCUUACUGGCCCUCUUAUGCUUUUGAGCUGGGUCUCAAAGGCUGGGCGGGAUUUCAUUUGACAGAGCACACCGAACAGAAAGGCAGGAGCAGAAAGAAAAUAGAAGUGGUGUUUGCAUGAAGGUAAAUCAUCUCAUCUGACUAGACACAUUUGAGCAGUGAGAAAAUAAACCAAAAAAAGUAGGCUGGAGUCAGUUUGUGGCAGGCCUUCAGAGCCCAGGGUGUUUUGACAUCAACUUAAGUAGUUGGCAGCCAUUGAGUCAGAGAGUGAGUUGAUUAGACUGCUGUGUUAGAAAAUGAAAUAGCAACGCUGUCUAGGAUGGAUUAAUGGCUGGGACUGUUGAAAGACUAGAGCAGGGAGACCUUUCAGUAGGUUGUGCAAUCAUCUAGAAACUGGAAGGAAAAGGAGGAACGAGCUGCAAAAGAUACUGCUGAAGAAGAGUAAACAGACUUUGGCCACUGGGUGAAUAUAAAAGAAGGACAAGAGAAAGCUGUUGAUGCCCAAGAAGAGAAAAACGUUCCACUGAAGGGUAGGAAAUGGCAGAAAAUUUGGAACCGGGGCUCAGAAUCGCAUGCUUCCCGGGAUGGUGCACCUUUCUCUUCUGACUGUCCAGUGAGGGAAGAAUGUGAUCUAGAAGCAAAUCCACAUGGACCUUGGUUUACUUAUGAGGCCAAAACAGAAUUGCAUUUCUCAUUCCUUAAGAAACUAGAACUCUUAAGGAAUUGUUCUGAGGCUCUAGCCUAACAAAUAUUAACAUUUUUCGGGGACAGAGGAGCUAAUUUAAGGGAACCGUGACUGAUUAGAGAUUCCUUUUCCUCUGCCCUAACAAGGAAGACACAUUCUAGUGGAAUUUUACCCUGAAGAAACUACCUCAUUGGAGCAAACAAAAUCCACCCUUCAUCCAGUCCAAGAUCAGCUUCCAUUUUCCAGGGCAACAUCACUCCAAACCUUUUUUGAUAGAAUCUACUUUUUUUUUUUUUUUUUAACUUUUGUUUAUUUUUGCCCCAAAGCCUUUGGCAUUGUCCUCCAGUGAGUCACACUAUGGAGCCAUUUCAAAAUGUCCUCCUUAAAGAAUGUUUCUCUUCCCAGGGGAGAUGGGAAAUUGGUCAAUGACAGCAUGUUCUGGCAUGUUACGGUGCAACGUGUGAGGAUUUUAGUAAGGAGAUGCCAUUUCACACGCCGCCAAGGCCACUUGAUGGAUGGGCUUGCAGGGAAACAGCCUUCUAGAUCUUUCCUGGCUCUACAGAGACAAGAUGGAAAAACUAAAGCAUGGCCAUUAGGGGUUUCUUCCAAUCAGUGUAAUAAGGGAAUCAGUCCUUCUACUCUCCCAUGACAGAAGUUUAGGGCAGUCAUUUGCAAAUUCAGAUUUUGCAACAAAAUAAUUAAAUCAUCAUGGGAUGGAAGACAAAAAUAAGAGGAGAGAAGGCAGAUACUGGCGUGUUUGGAGGCUUAGCAGGCUCCAGCACAGUAAUGCUGAUGCCCAGGCCUGUACCAGUGAUACUCUCUCCCCCUGGAAGGUCUCCAGUCUCACCCCCACUCCUUGGUUUGGAGUAAUUAGUCAUCCUCUGUCCUCUGUUCUCAAAGCACUUCGGACCUUCAUCUAUUAAAGUAGGUGGCACACUGGGAUUAUUUAUGCAGUGGUCACCAGCCUUCCCUUCAUAAGCAUCUGUCCCCAUUUAGAGCACCUCAGCGGCAGAGCAUAGAUUUGUCCUCAUAUCUUCAGCACCCAGAGCACGUCUUCAAGAAGAUUAACAUGGCACAUCCUGCUGUAAGAUGGAAGUGUGACUGAGGCAGGAGUCUGGGGCAAUUUCUGUUCCUGGUGCUGAGUGUCUAGAUUUCCUAUUCUUAUCACACAACAUCCCCGCAUACUCGCAGGUCCCUCAGGCACUUCUUUUGCUCCCUUUGACUCAUGUAUGAAAAUUUAAAGUAUCAUCAAACAUUACUAGGUGUACAUGUGAAUUUUGAUUGUGAACAUUCAUUGGGAAAUUAGGGAAAUCACCAGUGUGUAUUCCCACUGCAUGUCAAAAUGUAGAGACUGGCUUUAAUGUUUUUACUGAGCUUUAAUAUCUGCAUAUGGUGGAUGUUUUCUGGCUCCUGGCUGCGCAACAUCCAGGCUCCCUUUCUUCUAGUGACAAUGCCCUGGGUUUAUUUUGUUUUGUUUUGUUUGGUGGUGGGCAAUUGUCUGUCCCCCAUUGGGUGCAGUCCUGAUGACACUGAGUUCAAGGUGGCCCACCCUCCCUCCUCAGCAUGAGAUGAGUUUUCAGUGGCUGCCACUGGCUGUGGUGUGGGAUUGGUGAGAGGAAGCUUUUACAUUUGAGUUUUUCGCAAUGAACAGCUCUUUCUUUUGCAAUUUGAAAAUUAAAGAUUUAAGAAAAAGAUUAACAUUUGCCCAAAAGACCUGGCUAGACGCAGUGAAGUUCCUUGUGAAUCUGUGUGAGCAGCAGCCGCAGCCCUGGCUUGCUGUCCUGACACACACAGCACCCAGGGGAAUGCAGACGGCCCGCGUCAUACUCCUGAAGUUGCCAAAAAUCCCUUUAAAAUGAUUGAGCAGAUGUCUUUUCUUGGGUUUGAGCAGAUAUAAAUCACAGCAGUCUGCUUUUAAUUCCUAGGGUCGGUGUCUUAGAGGCAACAAAAUCAAUCCCUUUCAGGUUGGUUUUCUGAAUGUUUUUUAAAUCUUCAGAAUUUUAAUAACAAUAACUGCUACAAUAUGCAAGAAAAAGUAAACCCAUCUGUGCAGGUAGCUAUAUUUCACCCCAGGGCACACACUUCCUGUGUGAUGGUGGAGUUGAACAGGCAACUCCCAGUCAUCUCUGCAGCUGGCCCUGACCACCAGAGGUCAACCCCUCAGGGGCCCAGCAUGGAGAAUGAAAUGGUUUCUGAGCUUAGAGCCAGAGGCUUACAUGGCACAAAAUGGACACAGCCCAGGCCCAUGUAUCAUUAGCAGUAAGAGUUGGCGGGGCGGGGGGCGCUGUUAUUCACAAGAAGAAACAAAGGGAACGCCAGACUUUCCUCAGGAAAUCAGAGUUUAAGUCAAGCAGCUCACCACAAGAUCUUAGCCCUUGGUUUCUGGUCUUACCUGUCAUAUUUUUGGUGGCAUUAGAAAAGAUAACUUGGGGACUUCACAUCAAUCAAUAAUUAAUUCAAAGCUCUUAGUACUUUCCAGAGAAUCACAAUUCAAAUUUACAUUAGCCCCUCUUGGGUCUCCAGAGCAGAUACUGCAUCAAAAAGUUUCCAAGGGUCUGGUUUACACCACUUUCAAAGUAAAGCCCAUUAAUAAUGGCAGUACAGACCCUAAUGCCUACCCACUGAUAGGCGAGAAGAGCUGAGGGAUCCGGAGCAGGGUGCCUGAUGGGAAGAGGAUGGGGUUGAACAGAGACCCACUUUGAUUCCUGAUGGGCUCUGCCAUUAGCUGUGGAAACUCAGGGGUGUGUGUGCGUGUGUGUCUUCCUUUUCUUUCUUUCAUAUAAAAGAAAGCAUCAUAUAUUGUUAGAUGCCUUGCGUUUUUUUAUUUAAUAACAUAACGAAAUUGGAACAAAGUUUAAGGCUACUUUUAGACUUUCUGUCAUCUCAAACAGUGGUCUCCAAAUCUUUUUGCUGUCAACUUUAUUAAAAAAUUACUGAAGAUACAUAUAUAAUAUAUAUUUAAUAUAUAAUAUAUUCCACUUUGAUUAAAAUUUCAUAAUGUAAAUAUUAAUACAGCAGUGGCA